UACAGAGGCCUCGAGCGUUAGGCGGAAUCACUGGGCUUAAAGCGUGUGUAGGUGGAGUUCUAAGUACCUUGUGAAAUCCCACGGCUCAACCGUGGAACUGCUGGGUAUACUGGUUCUCUUGAGGUACCUAGGGGCGAGCGGAACAAGUGGUGGAGCGGUGAAAUGCGUAGAUAUCAGGAAGAACACCCGUGGCGAAGGCGGCUCUCUGGAACGCAACUGACGCUGAGACGCGAAAGCGUGGGGAGCAAACAGG
rnacentral:rRNA from 1 species